rnacentral:rRNA from 1 species
UCCCUAACCCUUCUGUGAACCUACCUAUCGUUGCUUCGGCGGACUCGCCCCAGCCCGGACGCGGACUGGACCAGCGGCCCGCCGGGGACCUCAAACUCUUGUAUUCCAGCAUCUUCUGAAUACGCCGCAAGGCAAAACAAAUGAAUCAAAACUUUCAACAACGGAUCUCUUGGCUCUGGCAUCGAUGAAGAACGCAGCGAAACGCGAUAAGUAAUGUGAAUUGCAGAAUCCAGUGAAUCAUCGAAUCUUUGAACGCACAUUGCGCCCGCCAGCAUUCUGGCGGGCAUGCCUGUUCGAGCGUCAUUUCAACCCUCGACCUCCCCUUGGGGAGGUCGGCGUUGGGGACCGGCAGCACACCGCCGGCCCUGAAAUGGAGUGGCGGCCCGUCCGCGGCGACCUCUGCGCAGUAAUACAGCUCGCACCGGAACCCCGACGCGGCCACGCCGUAAAACACCCAACUUCUGAACGUUGACCUCGAAUCAGGUAGGACUACCCGCUGAACUUAAGCAUAUCAA